CUCGCUACUUAGAUGCUUGUUAGUUGGCUUACUAAGUAGUUAAAUUAUUCAACUAACUAAACUUGUAGAUGUUUAUGUAUUUUCUAUUUUUGGACGUGGGUUCGAAUCCCACCGCCUCCACCA
rnacentral:tmRNA from 1 species